AAAAUCGUAAGGCAGAGGAGACACUGUGCUCAGGCAGGUAGUUUUCCCAGGGCGAGGCUCAUCUCCUGCACUCUGGGUGUGCUGACCCCUGUGAUUUCCUCAAAUGUGGGAAAAACUCAACUGCAGAAUUUGUGGUAGCGAGGGAGCGCGUUAGUUUCUAGCGGGAGGUGUCCCUGA
rnacentral:snRNA from 1 species